AGUGAACGCUGGCGGUAUGCCUAACACAUGCAAGUCGAACGGCAGCACAGUAAGAGCUUGCUCUUACGGGUGGCGAGUGGCGUAAGGGUGUGGAAUGCAUCCGAAUCUACUUUUUCGUUGGGCAUCACGUAGGGAAACUUACUCUACUACCGCAUACUACCUACGGGUGAAAGCAGGGGAUCUUCGGACCUUUCGCGAUUGAAUGAGCCGAUGUCGGAUUAGCUAGUUGGCGGGGUAAAGGCCAACCAAGGCGACGAUCCGUAGCUGGUCUGAGAGGAUGAGCAGCCAAACUGGAACUGAGACACGGUCCAGACUCCUACGGGAGGCAGCAGUGGGGAAUAUUGGACAAUGGGCGCAAGCCUGAUCCAGCCAUGCCGCGUGGGUGAAGAAGGCCUUCGGGUUGUAAAGCCCUUUUGUUGGGAAAGAAAAGGAGCAGGUUAAUACCCCGGUGUUAUGACGGUACCCAAAGAAUAAGCACCGGCUAACUUCGUG
rnacentral:rRNA from 1 species